rnacentral:rRNA from 1 species
GGCUCAGAACGAACGCUGGCUUCCGUGCCUAAUGCAUGCAAGUCGUACGCAGCCUCCUUCGGGUGGCUGAGUGGCGCACGGCUGAGGAACACGUGGGGAUCUGCCCCUCCGUGGGGGAUAACUCGCCGAAAGGCGUGCUAAUCCCGCAUACGCCGAAGCAAUUCGGGAAAGUCGCAAGACGCGGAGGGAGGAGCCUGCGGCCCAUCAGGUUGUUGGCGGGGUAACGGCCCACCAAGCCACUGACGGGUAGCUGGUCUGUGAGGACAACCAGCCAGACUGGGACUGAGACACGGCCCAGACUCCUACGGGAGGCAGC